GCAAGUCGAACGGUAACAGGUUAAGCUGACGUGUGGCGAACGGGAGAGUAAUAUAUCGGAACGUGCCCAGUCGUGGGGGAUAACUGCUCGAAAGAGCAGCUAAUACCGCAUACGACCUGAGGGUGAAAGCGGGGGAUCGCAAGACCUCGCGCGAUUGGAGCGGCCGAUAUCAGAUUAGGUAGUUGGUGGGGUAAAGGCCCACCAAGCCAACGAUCUGUAGCUGGUCUGAGAGGACGACCAGCCACACUGGGACUGAGACACGGCCCAGACUCCCACGGGAGGCAGCAGUGGGGAAUUUUGGACAAUGGGCGCAAGCCUGAUCCAGCCAUGCCGCGUGCGGGAAGAAGGCCUUCGGGUUGUAAACCGCUUUUGUCAGGGAAGAAAAGGUUCUGGUUAAUACCUGGGACUCAUGACGGUACCUGAAGAAUAAGCACCGGCUAACUACGUGCCAGCAGCCGCGGUAAUACGUAGGGCGCAAGCGUUAAUCGGAAUUACUGGGCGUAAAGCGUGCGCAGGCGGUUAUGCAAGACAGAGGUGAAAUCCCCGGGCUCAACCUGGGAACUGCCUUUGUGACUGCAUAGCUAGAGUACGGUAGAGGGGGAUGGAAUUCCGCGUGUAGCAGUGAAAUGCGUAGAUAUGCGGAGGAACACCGAUGGCGAAGGCAAUCCCCUGGACCUGUACUGACGCUCAUGCACGAAAGCGUGGGGAGCAAACAGGAUUAUAUACCCUGGUAGUCCACGCCCUAAACGAUGUCAACUGGUUGUUGGCAGGGUUUCUUCUCUGAACGUAGCUAACACCGUGAAGUUGACCGCCUGGGG
rnacentral:rRNA from 1 species